rnacentral:SRP_RNA from 1 species
CUUUGGUGCUCUUGCAAUGGUAAAUUGCGAACCCCGCCAGGCCCGGAAGGGAGCAACGGUAGUUAUUUNUCCAUGUGCCGAGAUGUUGCUGAGGAGA